rnacentral:tRNA from 1 species
GGUUCUGUGGUGUAAUGGUUAGCACUUCGGACUCUGAAUCCGGGAAUCCGAGUUCAAUUCUCGGUAAAACCU